UACAGAGGGGGCAAGCGUUGUUCGGAAUUACUGGGCGUAAAGGGCGCGUAGGCGGCCUUCUAAGUCGAACGUGAAAUCCCCGGGCUCAACCCGGGAACUGCGUCCGAUACUGGAAGGCUUGAAUCCGGGAGAGGGAUGCGGAAUUCCAGGUGUAGCGGUGAAAUGCGUAGAUAUCUGGAGGAACACCGGUGGCGAAGGCGGCUCACUGGCCCGGUACUGACGCUGAGGUACGAAGGCAUGGGUAUCGGAUCGGG
rnacentral:rRNA from 1 species